CCUACAAAAACAAAAUACAUAUCUGAGACUUAAUACAAAAAUAGAAAUAGAAUAUACUCACAAUUUCAAACAACAGUUAACUGAGCUACCUAGCAAACCGAGACAGAGACAUAACACUUUCACGUAACAUCAAACUAAGCUAAACAGCAAACAUCACAAGGAAUAAAAUUAUAUCAGUGACAAAACAAGUAACUAAAGAGGAUAAAUGGAGAAGAAGGCGACCAUGCAUGCAGCGAAGACGAAGUGACGGUGGUGGAUCUUAGAAGAAUAGAAGCUCUGGCAGUGGAUCUAAGAAGAAUAGAAACUCCGGUGGUGAAUCGAAGCAAAGGAGCUCCAGAAGAAGAAGAUAACCCACCUGAAAUAAUGAGUUCGAGUGUUAGACCUGAGAAAAUAUAAAUCAACAACAAACCAUGUUUGAUCUUUCUUCGCAUGUGACAUGCAUGCAGUCACCGUCGCUGAAGAACCCAUCGCCGGAGCUGGAUCUUCAUCUUCGGUGGAAAGUGAGUUCGAAUACUUCUCUCGAUGGCUUAAAGAAGCUCCACUCUUGGAUAUACAAGACACAUGGGAGUUCGGAAGUACCAUCAACCUUCAAAUAUCCGUCAUCGGAGCUCCAUUUGUCGUCGGCGAACAUCUUAGGCCGAAUCGCCUCCUUUCCCUCUCUCUCUCUCUCUCUCUCUCUCUCUCUCUGUGUGUGUUUUGCGGGUCUUCAAUAUCCCGCAGGUUAACCUGUGGUCCAUCCCGCUUUCGGUCCGAUCGCGCACAGUACUAUCUCACGAGACCCACAAGUUUACGAGCUUACUAAAUAAAGACCCAAUCUCCCCUAACAACAAGCCUUAAAAGUCAGGCCUACGGUCCAGGUCCUUGGUUGACAUUUCUAUAUGCCACCAAAACCGUUGAUUAAGACAUCUAGUCAAAUGAGACUUUUUUUAGUUUUAUAUUUGCAUUAGUGUUCAUAAUAAAUAAAGUUGAUGAAAUUUUCUAUGGUUAAAAUAAUAUACGUUAGUCAUUUUCGGUUAUAAUACUUUCAGGACAUCAUGUAUGAAUUUGUAAACUUAAAAAAAAAGGAUACAUUCAGACGCAACUGGUGAUAAUUUGUUUAUAACUAAAGAUUUUUCGACAAUCAAAUACGACAACAAAUAGAAAAUUUAUCGAAAUCCUUAAAUUGUUAUCAAACAUGCAUAAAAUUGUUAUCACAUAAUAUUAUUGACUAGUAUUAACUGCCGCAGCUUAAAAGUUUCUUAAAUUGAGAUUGCUAAAAAUUAUUUACGAUCUAACAUGCUGCAAGAAAUAUUAUUGCGUUGGAUUUGUUAUCAAUUGAUACAACCAUGGUUCAAUAUUUAACUACACAAGUUCAUUGAAUAAUUAUGGAAGGAAAAAUCUUUAUAUAUAAAGUUGUCUUUCCUUCUCUCUUAGAGUGUCCGCAUAGGAUGAUAUGUCACUAAUUUGGUUGUCGAGCAUCUGACACGUGUCCGAUUAAUGAAAAGCAGUGUGUCGUCGUUCGGCUUUCGCCCGGGCUUCACAUGGGCUUGCUCUCAGUUUUGCGGCCCAGCGACCACCUAACUAUAAGCAAACCCUAAUCUGUGGUGAUGAACAAAUUUGUGUUCUUCAUUUCACUUCGAUCGGUUUCGAUCGGCGGCGGCCGACGAUCGAUUAUCCACGCUGUUUCAGUAACGGAUCGAUUUAUGGUUUCCCAUUAAUUCAGUUGACCACUACGAGUUCUUCAAUGCGUCGUUACCGUCGGCGAACUCUCUAAUCUCGGUUCGGUAGGUGUUCAUCGGUUGUGGAGGCGAGUCUGCUGCAGUACUGGGAGGCUAGGAACAUCAAGCCUGGUGAAUCUGAAACUAUUAUUUAGCAUUGAGAUCGAUUUCCAGUCAAUUAGCAUUGGUUCUGUAUUUUUGUCCCCUUUUAUAUAUAAGACGGACUGUUAUUUAUUAAUGUAGGUGCUACGAUUGGCAUCAAGUGCCACACUGCAUUUAGGAAGAUAUCAAAAUGGAUCAAAGCUGUCCUUCAUUGAGCUUCAGUUAAUUUAUUUGUUUAUAAUUUCCGUUCUUAUGCUUUUUGCCUUACUGUUGAUUUCUUAUAACCGGAUCUGGAUUGUUUAUGAUUUUGCACAAUCUUCCAACUCUAUGCUAGAAGAUAUUCUCAAAAUUCUUAGUUGGUAAGGAAUCCAACAAUCAAUAUUGUCAAUAUUGUCGUUUUGAUUUCUAUGGGCUCUUCGUAUAUGUAGUUUCAUGAUGUCUUAAAGUAAAUAUUACUUUUUCUGUAUAUGUAAAAAACCAUCUGAUUCUCAUACAUUGCAAAGCCGGAAACGUAAUAUACUCCUUAUUGCUUUUCAUCUCUUGAGAACCAGCAGAAGAAUUUGGAGAAGAAGAUUGUGACCGAGAUCUUACCGGCAAAGAAAUUCCACAAAGCUGAAGAAUACCAUCAGCAUUACCCCUCCAAAGGUGGGAAGAGUGGCCAUGCACAGUCCCCUUCAAAGAGCUGCAAGGACCUUAUCAGCUGCUUUGGCUGAGGAAAAGCUUUUGUUCCUCUUCCACCAAAACAGAGGAUUCUCAGAGAAUAUGUAUCUGUUUGUAUGUGUGUGUGUGUUGAUUUGUAAGUCUCAGUUAGUAAUAAAGAUGCAUGUAUGAUCAUCUCAAGUGUGUGUUCCGAAAAAAAAAGUGUUCCAAAAAAAAAAUGAUCAUCUCAAGUGUGUAACUGAUGUAUGUUGGAAUAAUUAAUAAGUACCAUCAUUAGAACCUAAACCUCUUAUUUACUUA